GUUUUAAUAAUUUAAUCAAAAUAUUGAUUUUGUAACUCAAAAAUAAGAAGAUUCUUUUAAAACU
rnacentral:tRNA from 1 species